UGUUAUACAGUACCUUGAACAGAGGGGAAGAGUAAACCAGCAGCAGAAGAGAAGAGGCUUUGCUCAGACUCCAAAAUGUCCCACAUCAGGGACAUUGCAAUGGACAGAGGCAAACUUGCCAGGAGGAGGCAGAAGGGGCCAUAGAGUGGAUACUUUCUGCACCUUCUAGAGUUGAUCUCAGAAACUCAACUGAGGAAUCUUAAGCAAGGUCCAGUGCCUCCAUCAUCAGCUGCAAAACGGGUAAUUUGGUAUAAAUCAGCAGUUCUCCUGACAUGGGUCCUUGGAACCUUGGGUGAUUGCAUAAAGGGGUCUGUGGUGUUGUCUGUAGACUUGAAAAGCAACGUAUCUCCUACAGAUUUGUACUAUUUUUCAAAUGCCACUGUUGGAGUAAUAAAAACAAUUCAGUUAAAAGCUUAACUGAACUUAUAGUU
rnacentral:antisense_RNA from 1 species